CUGGAGGAUCUACAAUUGACAUGAUCUUCUAAGUUCAACAACUGCAAGAGAAAUGCUGUGAUCAAAGGAGACCACUAUAUAUUGCCUUCAUCGAUCUUGCCAAGGCAUUCGACCAUGCCUGAAGGAAUCAUGUAUCUAAGGAAUCCCUUUCUCCAAAGUCCCCAAUUUUGUGACUGGCCUGGGCCUUGGAUGAGUCCAAAUUGGGUCUGGUCUUCCGACUCUGUAUUCUCUGGGCAUUGAAGCUGGAUCCCCAUGGGAUUGAAUGGAAUCUUCAGCUGCAGUGUGGAGCUUUAUUUCUGCCCCCCUGUCUCCAAUCCUGACCUGGAGCAGCCUCUCCUCCUGCACCC